UCCGUAGGUGAACCUGCGGAGGGAUCAAUGCCGGGAACGGGCCUCCGGCCCGCCCCAGAUACCCUUUGUGAACUUAUACCAUAUCGUUGCCUCGGCGCCGGCCGAGGGGCUCUCAUGCCCCUCCCCCUAGCCCUGCUAGGGGAGCAGGCCCGCCGGUGGCCCUUUUAAACUCUGUUUGUAUGACCUAUCUCUUCUGAGUAACAAUUAUAAAUGAAUCAAAACUUUCAACAACGGAUCUCUUGGUUCUGGCAUCGAUGAAGAACGCAGCGAAAUGCGAUAAGUAAUGUGAAUUGCAGAAUUCAGUGAAUCAUCGAAUCUUUGAACGCACAUUGCGCCCGCUGGUAUUCCGGCGGGCAUGCCUGUUCGAGCGUCAUUUCAACCCUCAAGCAGUACUGCUUGGUGUUGGGGCCUAGCCUGUCACAAGGCUAGCCCUUAAAUCUACUGGCGUGCUCGCUAAGACUCCGAGCGUAGUAAUUUUUCUCGCUUAGGUUGGAUUAGCGGUGCCUUGCCGUAAAAGCCCCCAAAUUUAUCUGAAAAUUGACCUCGGAUCAGGUAGGAAUACCCGGUGAAAUUAAGCAUAUCAAUAAGCGGAGG
rnacentral:rRNA from 1 species